UACAGAGGUCUCAAGCGUUGUUCGGAUUCAUUGGGCGUAAAGGGUGCGUAGGUGGCGCUGUAAGUCGGGUGUGAAAUUUCGGAGCUUAACUCCGAAACUGCAUUCGAUACUGCGGUGCUUGAGGACUGGGAGAGGAGACUGGAAUUCAUGGUGUAGCAGUGAAAUGCGUAGAGAUCAUGAGGAAGACCAGUGGCGAAGGCGGGUCUCUGGACAGUUCCUGACACUGAGGCACGAAGGCCAGGGGAGCAAACGGG
rnacentral:rRNA from 1 species